rnacentral:tRNA from 3 species
GGGCGUAUAACUCAGUUGGUUAGAGUAUCGCCUUCACAUGGCGGAAGUCAGAGGUUCGAGUCCUCUUACGCCCA